GAUUAUAGUGGAAAGCAAUGGAAAGCACAAGUUUCAUUUUCAUAAUGCUGGGGUCGGUGGUUCAAGUCCACCUAUAACCACCA
rnacentral:tRNA from 1 species